UGAUGGCAGAUGAUCGCUGGUGUGCAGCAAUGCGCGCUGGAGGAAAGUCCGAACACCACACGGCAACAUGCCGCGUAAAACACGCGGGCGCCACGUUCGUAAGCGCGCGGCGACGGAAAGUGUCGCAGAAAAUAUACCGCCGGUUCUUUGAAAGGUAGAGCAAGCUUCCAGCUUGCUUCUUCUUGGCCCCGGCAAGGUUGAAAAGGCGAGGUAAGAGCUCACCGCUCGCGGAGCAAUUCGCGAGGCAGGAAAAACCCCAUGCGGUGCAAGACAGAACAGAGGGAGGGCAGCCGGUCCGUUGAUCCUCGGGUUUAGUCGCAUCACGGUCCCGCCCCCCAGCGAGAUCGGGCGGCUCACGCGAGUGAGCUGAGAUAAAUGAUCAUCCGCUCGAGCGAUCGAGCGACAGAAUUCGGCUUAUCGCCAUCGAAAU
rnacentral:RNase_P_RNA from 1 species